rnacentral:rRNA from 1 species
UACAGCGGUCCCAAGCGUUGUUCGGAUUUACUGGGCGUAAAGGGUGCGUAGGAGGUUGGCAAAGUCGGGUGUGAAAUCUCACCGCUUAACGGUGAAAUUGCGCUCGAUACUGGUUGACUAGAGUAUCGGAGGGGAAAGCGGAAUUCCAGGUGUAGCGGUGAAAUGCGUAGAUAUCUGGAGGAACACCGGUGGCGAAGGCGGCAUCCUGGACCAAUAUUGACGCUGAGGCGCGAAAGCCAGGGGAGCGAACGGG